ACGGCACAGACGUGAGCCAGGGCGGGAGGCUGAGGCCCGGGCCACACGGAUCUGCAGCAGGAAGCCACGGAAGGUGAACGUCCGCGCUCCGCACCCGGAAUGGCACCACCCACCGUGAGGGUGGCCCCGCCCCUCGGCCAAUGAUUCAUCAACCCGACAGACAGAACUAGGCAGCCACAUCCCCACUUAACAGGGAACUUCUUGGAAUCACCAACGUGAGCCUGAUCCUCAUAUCUAACAACUGCUUUCCAGUGGCUGCGCAGUCCACGCGCCUGGAUGUCUCAGCUGACACAAGAAUCCCAGAGACGUAUGCUCUCACUCCAGUGAAGGAACGGGCCUGCUAGCAAGAGCAAGCAGGCAGACAGAGCAAGCUUGCUUCCCUCUUUGUCCAUAUCCGUUAUGGAGGCAGAAGCAGGCAGAUUUCUGGGUUUGGGGCCAGCCUGGUCUACAGAGUGACUUCCAGGACAGGCAGGGCCACACAGAGAAACCCUGUCUCAGUAAAGCCAAAAAAAAAAAAAAAAAAAAAAAAAAGAAAGAAAAA